UUCCCCGUCUGUGGUGGGGGUACAUGGGACUCCAGGCGCCGGUUCCUCUGGGCUUUACUGAUCACCUGCGACGUGCCAGGCCCUGCCCGCGGAGAGGCCGCAUCCCGCCGUGGGGGUGGGGCAGACAGUGAACACCAUCAGACCUGGAGACCUGUGAACCCUGCAUCCAAUUGACCAUGGAAAGGUUCGGUUGCAGCCACCAGCCCCUGAGCAGCGCUGUCUUCAAAAGAGGCAUCUGCCCCACUGACCUGGAGCUAGGGAUUGGGCCUCCACGGAUGGGGAGGUGGGCCGUCGACGUGGCCUUUGUGUGGAAGGCACUGUUGACACUGGGGCUGGUCCUUCUCUACUAUUGCUUCUCUAUCGGCAUCACCUUCUACAACAAAUGGCUGACCAAGAGCUUCCAUUUCCCCCUCUUCAUGACGAUGCUGCACCUGGCCGUGAUCUUCCUCUUCUCUGCCCUGUCCCGGGCGCUGGUUCAGUGCUCCAGCCACAGGGCCCGUGUGGUGCUGAGCUGGACCGACUACCUCAGAAGGGUGGCUCCCACAGCACUGGCAACGGCGCUUGACGUGGGCUUGUCCAACUGGAGCUUCCUCUACAUCACCGUCUCACUGUACACAAUGACCAAAUCCUCAGCCGUCCUCUUCAUCUUGAUCUUCUCUCUGAUCUUCAAGCUGGAGGAGCUGGUGACAGACCCAGCCCAGGUGGUAGUACUGAAAAGGGACCUAGACACAGGGACAGUAUUCAGAAUAUUCAGAAAUGGUGUGGCAGAGCGGUGGCCCAAGGAGAAGUACCCCAGCGUGCGGCACUGGUCCUGGUGGUCCUCCUCAUCGCCGGGGGUCUCUUCAUGUUCACCUACAAGUCCACACAGUUCAACGUGGAGGGCUUCGCCUUGGUGCUGGGGGCCUCAUUCAUCGGUGGCAUCCGCUGGACCCUCACCCAGAUGCUCCUGCAGAAGGCUGAACUUGGCCUCCAGAACCCCAUCGACACCAUGUUCCACCUGCAGCCGCUCAUGUUUCUGGGGCUCUUUCCUCUCUUUGCCGUAUUUGAAGGUCUCCAUUUGUCCACAUCUGAGAAAAUCUUCCGUUUCCAAGACACAGGGCUGCUCCUGCGGGUUCUCGGGAGCCUCUUCCUUGGCGGGAUUCUCGCCUUUGGUUUGGGCUUCUCUGAGUUCCUCUUGGUCUCCAGGACCUCCAGCCUCACUCUCUCCAUUGCUGGCAUUUUUAAGGAAGUCUGCACUCUGCUGUUGGCAGCUCAUCUGCUGGGCGAUCAGAUCAGCCUCCUGAACUGGCUGGGAUUUGCCCUCUGCCUCUCAGGAAUAUCCCUGCACGUUGCCCUCAAGGCCCUGCACUCAAAAGGUGAUGGUGGCCCUAAACCCUCAAAGGGCUCCAGCCCUGACCUGGAGCUGCUGCUGCGGAGCAGCCAGCGGGAGGACGAUGACAAUGAGGAGGAGUACUUUGUGGCCCAGGGGCAGCAGUGACCAGCCAGACACUGCAGUGUGGAGGCAGGCCUCUCCCCCGCCCGCCAUGCUGCUAGCACUCGCAGCGCUCAGGAUGGGUAGUUCUUCACGGCAGCUGGGAACCUGGACCAGAGUCGCCUGGGCGUGACCAUGCCUUGGGGCCAGAUCAGGGACACAUGGUUCCUGCCCCUCCUUUCAGAGCUUGAUCAAAUGGGCUAAGUACCAGGCCAGCCUGGAACCUGGCGGAGCCAGGCCCACGCUGCACUGGAAUCGCAGAGAGAAGGGAGUGGGCUGGUUCUCAGCUGUUUGCCAGGCUCUGACGGCCAAGGCUAAUUUCAGAGGCAGAUCGGCUUUCCAGGGGGAUCGGGUUUGGACAGCAGAGCCAGAGGGAAGGGGGCUGGAGAGGCUGGGGCCUCAUCACCUGGACAGCAUCUUUUCUCAGAGAGCAGAUUUAUUUAUAGUUUGGAAAUAAAUGGUUCAUGGUCCACUGGCCGCCUGUGUUGCUGGAGGUGUGGGCCUGGGAGGGGUGGUGGGGGCCUGGCCUCCCCUCUGCUUUCCCUGCCUGGAGCCUGUUUCACGUGACUGGUCACGAGCCGGGCCUACAUGCCCGUUUGAGUGCAGUGCCCUCUCCUCUGGGCCCCGCCGUGCCUGCUGGCAGGAAUAAAUGGCUGUUCACUGAGUACCACAUUCAAGACUACUUGCUUUCACAGCCUAGAUUUGAGUCCUGGCUGUGCCACUAGCUGUGUGACCGUAAGCAAAUUACCUGUCUGUGCCAUAGUUGUUUCUUUUUUUGUGUUUUUGUCUUUUAAUCUGUGAAAUGGGGAUGAAAAUAGCUAUCUCGGAGUCCUGAAAAUUAAGUGAGUCAGUAUUGGUAACAGAUUAAAUGCUCUAUAAGUG